GGGGUUGUUUCGUUUCUUUCGCUCACCAAACAAGGAGUUUUUGUAUGGAGGUCAAUAAGAGUGUCGAAAUGUGGUCCAAAAAAAAAAUGCACAUGGUUGCCACAGUGUUGAAGCAGACGUAUGACGCUUUUGAGACUGAGAGGACUGUAAAGGAUGGGUUCAGGAGGACAGGUAUCUUUCAAUUUGACCCACAUGUCAUGGCUGGGUCAAUGUGGUGUGGGAGGGAAGAGAUGAGGCCUGAAGUCAGUGCUGCUGGACCCUGUGAUGAUGGGCCAAUGGAAGAACAACCCGAACGAGUGUGUCCGAGACCAUGGCAAGAAGGCAGUAAAGAGGAAUCUGAUGUCAAACUGGUGCUGCCUGGGUCAUCCUUGCCAGUUUCUAUGCCAUCGGAGUCUGUUCUGAAGCGAGAGGAGAUAUUUGAAGUAGUGCUUAAAAAACAAGAGGAAAUUAAGGAGGAGGAGUUGAAUGUUGUGUCAAACAUAUCCUCAGUAGACCUUCAUGUCACGGACUCCAGUGAGUUGAGGAGACAGAACUGCACAACAUUUUUUAAAUAAUGCCAAUAAUCAAUAUUGGAUGAUCAUUAUCAAGUAAAACCUAUCGAGUGGGAGGGCAAAGAGGCAGGUGCUCGAGCACAAGUAGAUCCCUAUCUGUGCACGUGCCUGGUUUACCGUGUGGUCUAAAUAAAGUCAUAUUGGAUCAUUGAUUGAUGUAGACCUUUUCAAUAAAAUGACAUUUCCUAAAUCUCAAUUCACUGGAAAAUCUACAUGAUGUGUGAUGAGGUAUCCUCUUUAGUGCCCUAUAAAUUCGACAUAAUAGUUUG
rnacentral:lncRNA from 1 species